AGCAGCCGCGGUAAUUCCAGCUCCAAUAGCGUAUAUUAAAGUUGUUGCAGUUAAAAAGCUCGUAGUUGAAUUUUGGAUUCUGCCAGUUGGUCCAUCUUUUGAUGAGUACUGAUUGUGUGGGGUCUAUCCGCCUGGGGAGACGUAAUGUACUUUAUUGUAUGUUGCGGGUAGCCAGGACCUUUACCUUGAAAAAAUUAGAGUGUUUAAAGCAGGCUUAUGCCGGAAUACAUUAGCAUGGAAUAAUAGAAUAGGACGAUGUGUUUUAUUUUGUUGGUUUCUAGGACAACCGUAAUGAUUAAUAGGGAUAGUUGGGGGCAUUAGUAUUCAAUUGUCAGAGGUGAAAUUCUUGGAUUUAUUGAAGACUAACUACUGCGAAAGCAUUUGCCAAGGAUGUUUUCAUUAAUCAAGAACGAAAGUUAGGGGAUCGAAGACGAUCAGAUACCGUCGUAGUCUUAACCAUAAACUAUGCCGACUAGGGAUCGGGCGAUGUUGUUUCCAUGACUCGCUCGGCACCUUAUGG
rnacentral:rRNA from 1 species